rnacentral:rRNA from 1 species
AGUGAACGCUGGCGGUAGGCCUAACACAUGCAAGUCGAACGGCAGCACAGUAAGAGCUUGCUCUUACGGGUGGCGAGUGGCGGACGGGUGAGGAAUACAUCGGAAUCUACUUUUUCGUGGGGGAUAACGUAGGGAAACUUACGCUAAUACCGCAUACGACCUACGGGCGAAAGCAGGGGAUCUUCGGACCUUGCGCGAUUGAAUGAGCCGAUGUCGGAUUAGCUAGUUGGCGGGGUAAAGGCCCACCAAGGCGACGAUCCGUAGCUGGUCUGAGAGGAUGAUCCGCCACACUGGAACUGAGACACGGUCCAGGCUCCUACGGGAGGCCGCAGUGGGGAAUAUUGGACGAUGGGCGCAAGCCUGAUCCAGCCAUGCCGCGUGGGUGAAGCAGGCCUGCGGGUUGUAAAGCCCUUUUGUUGGGAAAGAAAAGCAGCAGGUUAAUACCCCGCUGUUCUGACGGUACCCAAAGAAUAGGCACCGGCUAACUUCGU